UUUAAACUGUAUAAAUGAACAGUUGAAUUAAAAUGCCUUGCUCUUAGCAGGAUGCCACAUGGUAUGACUUACAUCCUAAUUAAUAGCAUAAAGCAAAGCACAUUCAAUUAAUCCCAAUAUACAACACAACUGUCGGACAAUCAUAACAUAUCCUACUUUUUAUAGAGUUAGGCUGGUUGUCGAUCUACCCCCCUUCGGGUUGGGUGAAAAUUAAUUCUGAUGGAUCGCUAUCUUCAGAUGGAAGAGCUGGAGCUGGCAUGGUGUUAUGAGAUGACACCGGACCUAUUUUUUUCCUUCUUGCAUAGAACUUUUCUCCUACCAGGAUGAUUUAGAAUCAGACUUAUGUGCUUGUAGCCAGGGCUUAUCAUUGGCCUUCAGAGGAGUGACCUUCCCGUGGUGAUUGAAGUGGUCUCUCUUAAGUUACAAAUAUGAUUCAAACCAGCGACAUGGAUAGAUCGGUGUAUUCCUUUUUGGUGAAAGAAAUAAAGCACCUCUUGAGUCUUCGUAUAAUUAGUAUUACUCAUGUUAGGCACUCCCAAAAUAAAGUUAGCAACUUUCUGGCAAACUCUGCUUGCUUAGAAAGUAGAAAUAUAAGUUGAUUGUGCUCUGAUCCCCCAGGUGUCGUUGAGUUGAAUCCUGUUGAUUGUAUACUGUUGUGAUUGCUUAAUACAAGUGGUCUACCUGCAAAAAAAAGGUUUGGUGUCUUCAGUCAACCGGAAUUACGCUGGUUAGAAAACAUAUUCCAACAUAUAGGAACAACUUAAAAGGGAUGAAAACUAAAACAUGAUGACUUCAUAUUUUCACAUAAUAGCAUUAAAAUAUUUGGCUUACAAAUACCGUUUCAUUCAAGAAACAAGACAAUAAAUCUCCUAAAUUUCAUCACUAUAAAGCACGUCUUUUUGUUUGAAUCUUUAAUUUUGGUCAACGUCAUCUCCUUUUUAGAUCAAUAUAUUAACUGCAGUCUUUUGCUGAACGAUACUUGCAUGAUCACGAGUCAAGAUUGUUGAAUGAAAUAUAUAGAUUUUUAUUCUAUUAAAUGUGCCUUGAUAGAUCAGAAAUGAAAGUAGAGGUUACUAAGUAACAGACAUAAUAGCUACCUUUUGCAUUUUUCUAGUGUGCCAUAUAUGAAUUUGAGAGCUUGACUUAUAUAGCACUGUAAUUGGAUUAACAAAAAUAACAUGGCUACUUAGCGCACUCUGCACUUUGUCAAACAAUACUGGAGCAGGGCAUGAAGUGAGGGACACAAAUAAUGUAGAAACUUAGUGCAUGAACAACUGCCUAUUUAGUGCUUCCAUACGAAAAUAAUCUCACAAUUUGACCAUUAACACUCUCAACAAUUGGAAGAUGUGGGUGUUGGAACAUUAUACUCACAGACAACAAAUCACUCAAACUGAAAGCAUUGCCUCAAAUUGAAUUAGAUUCUUUCUCGAUAAGUGAAUUGAUAACCCUUUCCAUGGCCAUCUAACAUGAAACAAAUAUGAUAAAGGAGAGUAUAGAUGGAAGAUCCUAACACAUACAUGUGGGUACAAGAAGAAUUCAAUUACGAAUUCCACUUCACAGUUUAUUGAAGAAUGAAAAAGAAUAUACAUGACACAUUUAGAAUAUCCAAGGCCCGAUAAAUGUUAAAAAAAUAAGGGAGAGGUAGCUAGGUAAGACAAAUGACUAUCCUGGCUACAUAUUAUAUGCAUGCUGCCGAGACUUUGUUCUAUAGCAUUUGCCAACAUAAAUACCAUUAAUAGGUGCUUUGCUCUAUAGCUUUUCCGUUCCCCCACGGGCGAACGGCCGCGCAUCGGGCCUCCUCCCUCCAGGCUCCCCCCUUCCUUCUUCCUUCUCGCCGCCGUCGCCGGCGCCCGCGGCCGGCUUGGCCCUGGGGCUGCUGGUGGCGGCGGCCUCCUGGCCCUUUCCCUCCCGGUCGCUCUCCGGCGCGAGCGGAGCGGCUCCAGGGGGGUGCAUCUAAGCGGCGGCGGUCUGGCGUGGCGGCGGGGCUCCGUGGAGCAUGCAGGCGAGCUACUGGGUGGCGGCGGGAUCUAGCGUCGUCCGCUCGGCCCAGAUCUGGGCCCUGCAGGCCCCAUCUGGGCCAGGGCGGGCUGGCGGCGGGGAUGGAUCCGAUGUGGCUUCUGGGAGGCUGCGGAGAUGCGACGCGUGGCUGGGUGCCGGCGGUGACGACACUGGUCUGCUGCAUCGCGGCCGACGGAGUUUAACGGGCCCUCUUCGGGCCUGGCUGGGCCAGGGGUGGCCCGGCAUGCCCCGCUGCCGCGUCCGGGCGGCUACCACGAUGGUGCUGGAGGCACGGGCCUCCCGCACGACGGCGGUGGAGGUGGUUCCCUCCCGCUCGGUGUCGAUGUUGCUGCUCCCGUCGUGGUGAGCUUCUCUCCGGUCCUCUUGGCCUCGUGGUGGUGUUCGUAGUGAGGCGGCGUGGGUGGCGGCGCUACUGCGUUGGCGCAUGGUGAUGGGCGAUGGUUGGGCGGUCGGUUCAGUUCGGUUGGGCGGUUGGGGCUGGAAUGCGGGAGAAAUCCCUGCCGGCUUCGGCCCCGACGCGGUGACACCUGCGAGUGCCACCAUUCCUCCCUGGAGGGUGUCGGUGGUAUCCACCCCACCUCCCUGUGCGUGCUCGGGGAAACCUGAGGACUCGUCUGGGCAGCAGCGUCGUCGGCGUCACAUCCCUUCUUGGAGGUGUUGCUUGGUAUGCGGCGGAUCGGAGCCUCGGCAUGUGGUGUUUUAUUUCCGGUGGGCACCGCGGUGGUGGGUCAUCCGCGCUUUGCCAAGCUGCCGUCGUUGGCAUUUGUUUCUUCUUCUUUUUCUCUUGGUGUGUUGUGCUUCUCGCCACAGCGUUACCUGUACUCGGUGUUGGUUGCUUUGGAAUACAAAGCAGGGGGAAACCCUUUUUCAGUAACGCUGGGCUUAUACUUCAGUUCUGAUGAGUAAUUAAAUAUUGAAAAUCACUCGCUACAAGCAAUCAAAAUACAGUCACCAAAUAAGAAUUAAGAAAAAGUAUCGUACCUUCACCUUUGCAUUCCUAGAAAGCAAGGCAUUCCCCAAUACAGAGGGACUUCAAAAGCAGGACAAAUAUGAAUUGAUCCUCACCGUCCUCAUGUCGUUUAUUUAGAACAGAAAAGCUGAAAAGAACAUGGUUAAUCUAAGCCAACUCUGCACUUUGUGCAAGAUUUUGGAACCCAAACAAAUAAUCUCACACUAUAACUACACUUAGAAAAAUACCAUAACUUUACCAUUGCAUUCCCAGAAAGUGAGGCAUGCCCAAAUAGGGCUUCAAAAUUGAAACAUGUGAAGGAAAACACCUUCAAACAGAAGACCCUGAUCCAUACCGUCCUCAAGUUGUUUAUGUAGAAUAGAAAAGCUGAAAAGAACAUGGUUACUCUGAAGUCAUCUCUGUACUUUGUGAAAGAAGGACCCGAGCAAGUAAUCUCAGGUUGUAACUAUUAGCACUUUGAACAAUUGGAAGAUGCUGCGUUUAAGCAUGUAUUAUUCUCAUGCAAGAAAUCAUUAUGGUGAAAGCAG
rnacentral:lncRNA from 1 species